rnacentral:lncRNA from 1 species
GAAGAUCGGCACUUUGUUGAAGGCUGCUAACGUCACCGUUGAAUCUUACUGGCCAAGCCUAUUCGCUAAGCUUGCUCAGAGCAAGAACGUUGAUGAUCUCGUUUUGAACUCCGGCGCUGUUGGUGGUGCCGCCGUUGCCGUAUCUGCACCUACUGCUGGUGGUGGAGCCACAGCAGCAGCCGAACCUGCCGCCGUGGAAAAGAAGGAGGAAGCCAAGGAAGAAAGUGACGAUGACAUGGGCUUUAGUUUGUUUGACUAGGUUUCUCUUUAUAGUUUGUUGUAGCCAGAUUAGG